rnacentral:rRNA from 1 species
UACGUAGGGGGCUAGCGUUAUCCGGAAUUACUGGGCGUAAAGGGUGCGUGGGUGGUUUCUUAAGUCAGAGGUGAAAGGCUACGGCUCAACCGUAGUAAGCCUUUGAAACUGGGGAACUUGAGUGCAGGAGAGGAGAGUGGAAUUCCUAGUGUAGCGGUGAAAUGCGUAGAUAUUAGGAGGAACACCAGUUGCGAAGGCGGCUCUCUGGACUGUAACUAACACUGAGGCACGAAAGCGUGGGGAGCAAACAGG